AAGACAUGUACAAAUUAAUGUGGAGCAUCAAGUACUGAGUUGCCUUUUUCAUUUUCUUGCCUCAGACACCUCUGUAAAGCUGAAAGAAACAUAUGGUGACAGUUCAUCUGACCUACUACUGGCCGACAAAUCUCACAAAAUGGAAUGGUACCGAGAAUACACUCAUGCUCAGAAAGAUUCCAAUAUCCUCAGAUUUCUUCUAACAAUGUAAGACUGAUAUAAAACGUGAUUUUUGUAUAUGGCUACUGAAUAUUAAUUGCCCUCGGAUUCAUCCAAGUAGCAUGACUGGUUUUGCAGAGAAAGAA